CAGAUAUUAAAUGCGUGUUGGAAAGUGAUUGGAUAAAAAUACUCCUCUCAUAUUAUGAUAUCUUAGGCCAUAUUAUGACAUCCUGGACUAUAUUACGUCACAGGAUAUCAUAAUUUUUUUUUAAAUAAAGAUAUUUUUAUCAUAUAAAAUUUUUAAAUAAAAAAUUUGAUAUAUUAAUAUUAAAUAUAUGUUGAAAAAUAAUGAUUAUAUGGAUCAAUUAACUGAGAUGAUG
rnacentral:lncRNA from 1 species